CCAGACUCCUACGGGAGGCAGCAGUGGGGAAUAUUGGACAAUGGACCGAGAGUCUGAUCCAGCAAUUCUGUGUGCACGAUGAAGUUUUUCGGAAUGUAAAGUGCUUUCAGUUGGGAAGAAAGAAAUGACGGUACCAACAGAAGAAGUGACGGCUAAAUACGUGCCAGCAGCCGCGGUAAUACGUAUGUCACGAGCGUUAUCCGGAUUUAUUGGGCGUAAAGCGCGUCUAGGUGGUUAUGUAAGUCUGAUGUGAAAAUGCAGGGCUCAACUCUGUAUUGCGUUGGAAACUGUAUAACUAGAGUACUGGAGAGGUAAGCGGAACUACAAGUGUAGAGGUGAAAUUCGUAGAUAUUUGUAGGAAUGCCGAUGGGGAAGCCAGCUUACUGGACAGAUACUGACGCUAAAGCGCGAAAGCGUGGGUAGCAAACAGGAUUAGAUACCCUGGUAGUCCACGCUGUAAACGAUGAUUACUAGGUGUUGGGGGUCGAACCUCAGCGCCCAAGCAAACGCGAUAAGUAAUCCGUCUGGGGAGUACGUACGCAAGUAUGAAACUCAAAGGAAUUGACGGGGGCCCGCACAAG
rnacentral:rRNA from 1 species